rnacentral:lncRNA from 1 species
GGAGUGGAACUGACCCCACCCGUGACUUUCCGGCUGCGAAGCGGCUCCGGUCCCGUCUAUGUCAGCGGCCAGCACGUGUCCCGUGAGUGUCCCCUGAGUGUCCCCAACUCCCCUCGGGUGUCCCGUGAGUGUCCCCUGAGUGUCCCCAACUCCCCUUGAGUGUCCCGUGAGUGUCCCCUGAGUGUCCCCAACCCUCCCCCGAGUGUCCUGUGAGUCUCCCCCGAGUGUCCCUGUCCCUCCUCGGGUGUCCCCUGAGUGUCCCCCGAGUGUCCCCAACCCUCCCCCGAGUGUCCUGUGAGUCUCCCCGUUCCCCCUCGGGUGUCCCCGAGGUCCGGGGGCUCAGCCGGGCUCUCCCGCCCGCAGUGACAAACUUCAGCUCGGAGGAUGAGGAAGAGGAAGUAGUAGAGGAGACCCCCGAGAAGCCCCCCAAGGCCUCGAGUGCCCGGAAAGGCGGCGCUGCCAAGCAGGAACAGCCUGGCCCGUGAGGAUCCCCUUCCCCCCAAGGGGCGCGGGGCCGGCCGGGGAAGGAAAGCAGCACCGAAGAAAUAAUGGGAAUUCCAUCGGAACCGGGCCAGGUGAGCAUUGGCAUGAGCAAUCCCGGAGCUCGGAGAGCCCUGGGGGGCGGCUCCGUCCCCACCGCGGGUUCUCCAGGCCUUCCCUGCGGGUAAAUCCCAUUUUUCCCUCCUUCCCUUCCAGGUGCGGCCGAGGCUGGAGCAGCAGCAGCAGCCGGUGGUGGUGGUGGUGUGGUUCCCAAAUAAAGCACAUUUUGCACUCCUGGCUCCCCGCGCUGCUGCCGGGGGGGAUUUGGGGGCACCCCCCACCCCGGCUGGAGCUGCUGCCCUGGAUUUGGGGGGGCCAGCGCUGCCCCCCGGCCGUGGGGUGCCGUGAGAAGGGC